UGCUAGUCCUACCACAAAAUGUAGAGAGACUAGCUCAGCGUGUAUUGAAUUUGUCUGACCUGCCCACGGCCACCCCCUCUUUUUCAGAACUGGCUGGGCUACACCAAGAAGAGAGCACCCAUUGGCUUCCAUCGGGUUGUGGAAAUUUUGCACAGGAACAAUGCCCCUGUUCAGAUAUUACAGGAGUAUGUCAAUCUGGUGGAAGAUGUGGACACAAAGUUGAACUUAGCCACCAAGUUCAAGUGUCAUGAUGUCGUCAUCGAUACUUGCCGGGACCUGAAGGAUCGUCAGCAGUUGCUCGCGUACAGGAGCAAGGUGGACAAAGGCUCUGCCGAGGAGGAGAAGAUCGAUGCCCUUCUCAACAGCUCGCAAAUUCGAUGGAAGAAUUAAGUGGCAUCAGCUCCCUGGCACCCAGCCUCAUUUCUUCCUUUCCUGCCUGUGAAAGUCGAGAGCGCUCUUUUUGGGAGAGUUACAGCAUCACAUCACUGGGGCCCGUCAUCAGCAGGCAGUGCCUGCUACCCGUGGGACAGAGACCAGCCUGGGCACUGACAGCCUCAGAUGGGUCUUCUGUCCAGGGACUGUCACCGAAGGGCCAAGAUCUAAAGCUUUGCCUCAUGAGAGAGACUCUUCACCUGGUGCUCACGUGAAGGUGGGAAUUAAUUUCUAGGUUGGGCCCAUAUUGGGCAAGAUGGCUCUUGGUCCUCAGAAAGUGACUGCUCCAGAAAGAAGGUCUCCUGGACCGAGAGGUGCAGGUGUCGUCGGGCGGCCGCUCCACUCCCUUCUGCUAACUGCUCGGACCUGGUGCUGGACCCUGGCAUCUGCUCGGCAGGAGGUCAGCACACAACCAGAAUGGCUGUCUCCCCGGGGGGCCUCAGGAAGGACCGCCCACCUUGCUGGGACCUGUUGGAGGCGCCCUCACCCCGGACUGUACAGAGUCCACCACUUCACGGCAGAGCCGGCCCACCCCCCUCUGCUGCCCUGGUCUCCCCUUUACAGACAAGCUGUGGUUCCUCUCCGCCUGCACCCCGGGGAGCCUGGUGCGGGAGAUGAGGGCACCCUGCUUCCCGUUCCUCCUCCCACCCAGGCCCCCACCUUCCGUGAGUCAGCGGGGCUGGGGUGAGCGCUCCCUUUCUGCACACACGUUCUCGUCUCACUCGGAGCUUCCACAGGUUUCACCAGGGCUGACCUCGGCAGCAUUCCUGGUAGGCUAGCAAGAGGGCGGUUUGGUCUCGAAGUUGGUUUUCGAGAGGAUAUUCUGUAAUGCCUGCGUCCUGUAUUCCUGUGCCAACGUGAGCCAUUUUUCUCUGUGACUGACCUGGGUUUCCCAGACACGCCUGGACGCCUAAUAAAGCCGUUUCUUCCUUGGUGC